UACGGGGGGAGCAAGCGUUGUUCGGAUUUACUGGGCGUAAAGGGCGCGUAGGCGGCCACCGCAAGUCAGUUGUGAAAUCUCUGGGCUUAACCCAGAAAGGUCAACUGAUACUGCGGGGCUAGAGUGCAGAAGGGGCAACUGGAAUUCUCGGUGUAGCGGUGAAAUGCGUAGAUAUCGGAAGGAACGCCGGUGGCGAAAGCGGCGCGCUGGACCUCUUCUGACGCUGAGGCGCGAAAGCCAGGGGAGCAAACGGG
rnacentral:rRNA from 1 species